rnacentral:lncRNA from 1 species
GGUCGGACCAUAUUUUCGGAUCGUCGCCGAUUCCCGGCAGGUAAAUCUCCAGGUUCGCAUCCAUCGGGAUGUCGUAUCCCCCCAAUGUUGCUGCCUCCUCAGUAGCUGCGUGUGUGAGCGAAAAGUACGUCGGUGGGUGCCUACGUAAGAGCUCUUUCACUACUGCUUGCAAGUACUUGAGCUUUUCGAUAUCUGUUUCGUCUACUUUUCGAUCCCCGACCGUGGAUUUGAUUUCGUCCAACAGUUUGGAUUGGAUGUCUGGGUUUUCAAUUAGCUGUGCGAUGCCCCACUCGAGUGCGGUUGCGGUGGUAUCGGUGCCGCCGUUGAGGAACUCAGAGCAGAGUGUGACCAGCUCGGAAUUGGACGGUGCUGAUUUUCUUCCUUCAACUUUG